UACGGGGGGAGCAAGCGUUGUUCGGAUUUACUGGGCGUAAAGGGCUCGUAGGUGGCCAACUAAGUCAGACGUGAAAUCCCUCGGCUUAACCGGGGAACUGCGUCUGAUACUGGACGGCUUGAGUUUGGGAGAGGGACGCGGAAUUCCUGGUGUAGCGGUGAAAUGCGCAGAUAUCAGGAAGAACACCUAUGGCGAAGGCAGCUCUCUGGGACGGUACUGACGCUGAGACGCGAAAGCGUGGGGAGCGAACAGG
rnacentral:rRNA from 1 species